rnacentral:rRNA from 1 species
UAGUCCACACCGUAAACGAUGAGAGCUAGUUGUCUGCAAGCAUGCUUGUAGGUGACGCAGCUAACGCAUUAAGCUCUCCGCCUGGGGAGUACGGUCGCAAGAUUAAAACUCAAAGAAAUUGACGGGGGCCCGCACAAGCGGUGGAGCAUGUGGUUUAAUUCGAAGCAACGCGCAGAACCUUACCUACCCUUGACAUGCCGGUCGCGAUUUCCAGAGAUGGAUUUCUUCAAUUCGGUUGGACCGUGCACAGGUGCUGCAUGGCCGUCGUCAGCUCGUGUCGUGAGAUGUUGGGUUAAGUCCCGCAACGAGCGCAACCCUCACUUUUAGUUGCCAGCAUUUAGUUGGGCACGUCUAGAAGAACUGCCGGUGCUAAGCCGGAGGAAGGUGGGGAUGGACGUCAGGUCCUCAUGGCCCUUACGGGUACGGGCGUACGACACGUGCUACAAUGGCGCUGACAGAGGGUUAAUCCCGUAAAAGGCCGUACGUCAGUUCGGAUUGUCUCUGC